rnacentral:rRNA from 1 species
GAUGAACGCUGGCGGCGUGCCUAAUACAUGCAAGUCGAGCGAACAGACGAGGAGCUUGCUCCUCUGACGUUAGCGGCGGACGGGUGAGUAACACGUGGAUAACCUACCUAUAAGACUGGGAUAACUUCGGGAAACCGGAGCUAAUACCGGAUAAUAUAUUGAACCGCAUGGUUCAAUAGUGAAAGACGGUUUUGCUGUCACUUAUAGAUGGAUCCGCGCCGCAUUAGCUAGUUGGUAAGGUAACGGCUUACCAAGGCGACGAUGCGUAGCCGACCUGAGAGGGUGAUCGGCCACACUGGAACUGAGACACGGUCCAGACUCCUACGGGAGGCAGCAGUAGGGAAUCUUCCGCAAUGGGCGAAAGCCUGACGGAGCAACGCCGCGUGAGUGACGAAGGUCUUCGGAUCGUAAAACUCUGUUAUUAGGGAAGAACAAAUGUGUAAGUAACUAUGCACGCCUUGACGGUACCUAAUCAGAAAGCCACGGCUAACUACGUG